AUUCAUUGCACCGCGUACCCAGAUCACGUUAUCUGGAGAGGAUUUGCAGCAGGUUGCUACGUGUGACUACAUCGGCAACCAGGGAAUGCUGUUUGGAAUGAUGCACAUAUGGGAGAGCAUCAACGGUCUGAGAAAAAUUUUCAAGUUUUACGACCCAGAGCUUCUCACAGUGCAUGGGAUCAACGAUGAAGAACAGAGUCAGUCUUUUGACGAUGCGGCAAGACGAUUGGCUAAUUGGUUAUCAUUAAUGAACAACAACCACCAAAUGUUCUUUAUUCCUUGGAAUAUCGGGUAAACUUUAUUAAAUUCUUUAGUGCUAAUUGUUCAUUUCUAUAUUAUGUCUUCAAAUUAUUUUUAUACUAUCUUACUUAUAUUCCAAUAUAAUUUUCUAGGAUGCAUUGGACGCUAGUGGUGGUUGCGCCAGGGAAAAUUAUCCAUUUAAACCCUGUAAAAGGCCGCCCAAUUCCCGAAGAAAUAGAACAAAUGAUCGGAAGGUAAUAAUUUAAUGACUUCUUAUGUAACGAAUUGAAAUGCUAAUAUAAUUUUCCUAAACAGGGCAUUCAUGUAUAUAGGGGACGCACAUCAGUAUCUUGGCCCGUGGCAAGGAAUUUCACAAGCAAACUGUCCAAGACAACCUAAAAGCCAAGAAUGGGGUUUUUAUGUUUUGAAAUAUAUCACUGACAUCGUCGCACGUGCCAACCCCAACCGUUACAUACAAGAUCAAAAAGCUUUUGGUGGUAAGAAGCAAUACGAUCCAAAAACAGAAUUGUUACCACUACAGCGAAAGUGGAUCGAACAAUUGAUGGCGGUGAUUCACGGUGACGAUUGAGGUUCAAAGGACGAAGAAUUUUUCUUCAUUAUGUUAUUUUUAUAGAUUAACUUGUAAUUAGAUUUAUUAACUUAUUAAUAUUUUUAACUAAUUUUACAUGUUUGUGUAAUAUUUAAUUACUUUUAUGAAAUCAAAUUAUGUUUUUACCCAAAUUUAAUUACUAUUUAAUUUAAAAUGUAAUUAAUAUAUAAUUAAAUUAAAUAAAUAUGUAAUUAAUAUAUAAUUAAAUUAAAUAAAUAUGUAAUUAAUAUAUAAUUAAAUUAAAUAAAUAUGUAAUUUAAAAUUUAAAUAAAUAUGUAAUUUAAAUUAAAUAAAAUAAUAUAUAAAUUAAUAAAUAUAAAAUUAAAAUAAUAUAUAAAAUUAUUAAA